UGACGCCUGUGAGGGAUGACGGCCUUCGGGUUGUAAACCUCUUUCAGUAGGGAAGAAGCGAAAGUGACGGUACCUAGCAGAAGAAGCACCGGCUAACUACGUGCCAGCAGCCGCGGUAAUACGUAGGGUGCGAGCGUUAUCCGGAAUUAUUGGGCGUAAAGAGCUCGUAGCGGUUUGUCGCGUCUGUCGUGAAAGUCCGGGGCUUAACCCCGGAUCUGCGGUGGGUACGGGCAGACUAGAGUGCAGUAGGGGAGACUGGAAUUCCUGGUGUAGCGGUGGAAUGCGCAGAUAUCAGGAGGAACACCGAUGGCGAAGGCAGGUCUCUGGGCUGUAACUGACGCUGAGGAGCGAAAGCAUGGGGAGCGAACAGGAUUAGAUACCCUGGUAGUCCAUGCCGUAAACGUUGGGCACUAGGUGUGGGGACCAUUCCACGGUUUCCGCGCCGCAGCUAACGCAUUAAGUGCCCCGCCUGGGGAGUACGGCCGCAAGGCUAAAACUCAAAGGAAUUGACGGGGGCCCGCACAAGCGGCGGGAGCAUGCGGAUUAAUUCGAUGCAACGCGAAGAACCUUACCAAGGCUUGACAGUUCUCGAU
rnacentral:rRNA from 1 species